rnacentral:lncRNA from 1 species
GAACCAAGUUCCAAACAAGAGCUAAUUUUUAUGUAAUCAAUGGCUGGUCUCUCUUCCUUCGUCCGCUUUCUCAUUAUGGUUAUGUUCAUUGCAUCCAUCUUGCUCAUGCAUCCAUCUCAGAUUCAUGCAGGUUCUGUUCGAGAUUCAGAAACAGUUUCCGAAAUUUAGAAUUCCUUUUGAGAAUUUGAGUUGUACCCUGGUUUUUUUUUUUUUCUUUCUUUCUCAUUUCCUUUAAUUUGUACUUUUAUUAGCAAUUGUUGAUCAAGGAUACAUUAUGUUAUGUGUUUUAUAUUUGGCUACAGAUUUGAAGGUGAGCAAAUUUGGCCGGAAAACCAGACCAAGCCCACCCCCUCCUCCAGCAGGAAACUUUCGGAAGCAACAAAGCCCACCACCUCCUCCAAUGGGUGCACCUCUAAUCUAAAGACCUGCAGUCUGAUCCAUUUUUCUCAACCACCUUCUUACUUUCAAUGUUUUAAAGGAAACUAAGCCUUAGUUAAUCUUACACACACAGGUAGGCAUCUCCUUUAAAUAUUUGUCCAAUUAUACCCCUGCAAAAAUCAGCAAAUAGUUUUUCAGUUCUGUGAUUUGUAUUUUGGCCAGAUUGCUAAAGUGUUUGGGGUUUUAGGAUUCUC